ACAUUCCCAGUGCUGAAAGAAUACAAGCCUUGAAGGUGCAUUAGCAGAAGAGUACUCUGAGAAAUCACAACCUCCCUGUGCAUCCAGCUGCUGGAUUUAGAGCCCAUCAGUGAGUCAAUGCUGGAUGGAUGGAGGAGCUCGCUCUUGUGACCAGAUGGAGGAAAGCUGGAACUGGGAUGUGUAAUCUGAGAGCUCUUUUCCGUGAAGAGACAGGAAGCAUUAACUGGAGGGAAGUGUUCAGAAAAGAGCCGGAUCUCGUUCUUGAUAUGAUUCAUAGCCUGGAAGACAAGAAUGCAGCUGGGUGCUGCAGUACGCAACAGGUAUGAGAAGGGAGAUACUUUAUGCUGCUGUUGUCACCAAAAAUAGAUCUGUAAGGCUGAUGAUAGAAACCCUCAAGAUUAAAUACAAAUAAGAAAGAGCAGAGGUGAGCCCCAUUCUUCUGUUAGCUGCAUAGGAGUAAGUGUUAGGGACAUAUAUGAGCUUCACAGAUAAUCCCUGCCUGUGAUAUCCAGCUUUUAUUUUUGAUAUAAUCUUAAAAUAACAGCAUGUAAAAUGGGAAUUUCCUGCUUCUCCCAGCCAUUGCAGAGGCCCAAACCAAGACAUCCCACCUGUGAUCCUGGGGCUAGGAAGAUCAGACCUGAGCGAGUGUCACCUACUCUGUGAGGACAGUGACAACCCACCUCCCUCACCCAUCAUAGGCUGUGAAAAUGAAUACACAGGGGUAAAGCGCUUUGGGAUCCUCAGAUUGGGAAAGGUCAGGAGAGCAUCGCCGUCUCUUUCAGGAGCUCCAACACCAAGG
rnacentral:lncRNA from 14 species